AACGUAGGAGACAAACGUUAUCCGGAGUUACUGGGCGUAAAGGGCGUGCAGGCGGUCGACUAAGUCUGGCGUGAAAGCUCUCGGCUAAACCGGGAGAGGUCGUUGGAUACUGGUUGACUAGAGGACGGUAGAGGCGUGUGGAAUUCCGGGUGUAGUGGUGAAAUGCGUAGAGAUCCGGAGGAACACCGGUGGCGAAGGCGGUUCUCUGGGCAUGUCCUGACGCUGAGGAGCGAAAGUGUGGGGAGCGAACAGG
rnacentral:rRNA from 1 species